GUACCUUUUUCUGAGUCCCAGGGUUGAAGCUCAAGGAUGGAGACACCAGCUGCCUCUAGUGACCAUCUCCAGCCCCCUGGAGAGAACCUGGGUUUGAUUCUCAGCACCCAUGUGGUAAUUCCCAAGUGUCUCUAAUCCCACGGUUCCAGAGGAUCUGAUGGCCUCUUCUGACCUCUGAAGGCAACAAGCAUGCAUGUAGUGUGUGUCUGAGACACACACAGAAUUACGCAUGCACAUACACAGUCACACAUGUACAUAUGCAUAUACAGUCACAUGGUCUCUCCCUCCCUCUCUGUCUGUCUGUCUGUCUGUCUCUCUCUCUCUCUCUCUCUCUCUCUCUCUCUCUCUCUCUCACACACACACACACACACACACACACUGAGUUCAAGGCUUAGUUUGCAUGUGCCUAACAUAGGAUCACUAACACUUGCCAUAUUUGCCCAGUACAAGUGAAACAUAUAGACGCUUUGCUUCUAAACUACACAUACCACACGUCAGCUACCGGACGGAAAGUGUCUG
rnacentral:lncRNA from 1 species